UAAUACGGAGGGUGCGAGCGUUGUCCGGAAUCACUGGGCGUAAAGGGCGCGUAGGUGGCCUGUGGAAGUCUGCGGUGAAAGCCCGGCGCUCAACGCCGGGUCGGCCGUGGAUACUCUCGGGCUUGAGCUUACUAGAGGCAGAUGGAAUUCCGGGUGUAGCGGUGGAAUGCGUAGAGAUCCGGAAGAACACCGGUGGCGAAGGCGGUCUGCUGGGGUAAUGCUGACACUGAUGCGCGACAGCGUGGGGAGCAAACAGGAUUAGAUACCCUGGUAGUCCACGCCGUAAACGAUGGGCACUAGGUGCUUGGGGGAGCGACCCCCUGAGUGCCGUCGCUAACGCAUUAAGUGCCCCGCCUGGGGAGUACGGCCGCAAGGCU
rnacentral:rRNA from 1 species